AUUGAACGCUGGCGGCAUGCUUUACACAUGCAAGUCGAACGGUAACAGGCCUUCGGGUGCUGACGAGUGGCGAACGGGUGAGUAAUGCAUCGGAACGUACCCAGAGGUGGGGGAUAACGCAGCGAAAGCUGUGCUAAUACCGCAUGUGAUCUGAGGAUGAAAGCGGGGGACCGAGCAGCAAUGUUUGGCCUCGCGCCUUUGGAGCGGCCGAUGUCGGAUUAGCUAGUUGGUGGGGUAAAGGCCUACCAAGGCGACGAUCCGUAGCUGGUCUGAGAGGACGACCAGCCACACUGGGACUGAGACCCGGCCCAGACUCCUACGGGAGGCAGCAGUGGGGAAUUUUGGACAAUGGGCGCAAGCCUGAUCCAGCAAUGCCGCGUGCGGGAAGAAGGCCUUCGGGUUGUAAACCGCUUUUGGCAGGAACGAAACGGUGUCCGCUAAUACCGGGCGCUAAUGACGGUACCUGCAGAAUAAGCACCGGCUAACUACGUG
rnacentral:rRNA from 1 species